GUAUCCCUGGAGCCUUCUCUUCGCCAGGCUGAACAACCCCAACUCUCUCAGCCUGUCUUCAUAGAAGAGGUGCUCCAGCCCUCUGAUCGUCUUAGUGGCCCGCCUCUGGACUCACUCCUUCAUCCCUUCCUCUGUAUCUGCCCAGCUCUAUUGUUCUGUACAGAGAAUAGAUGGACAACAUACCUACUUCUGCAGCAUAAACAGAGUAAAACAUCGCCUUUUGUACUAAAAAUUCUAUGAAGAUAAAUUUCAAUUCAAAGUCUUCAGAGUUUUUUAGCCACAUGAAGAUCGUUUAGUUUCAACGCAGCCAAUGCUUAAGUAAUUAUCCAGCAGAGGGAGUCUUAAAAACCCAAGUGAAUAUAAGGCAUCUUUCCAAAAUCAGCUGGGAUCAUGAGAGCACACUGAGUGCAUGUGAACCAAGAACACAGCAGAGUCAUCAUACAGAAAACAGACUGAAGAAGGACUUAUUUCUGUAUAAUACCUAGCAUCAAUGGAGAAAUACGUCUCCAUUCUACCACUGAACCAGAGCCAUUUCGAAGGCACUCUGUGUGUGCUAUCUGGUAACAGAGCAUGAUUCCUUCUUACCCUGCAAAAUUUGAUCGAAAUUACUCCUGACCACUGUUUCUUACUCUCCU